rnacentral:rRNA from 1 species
AGGGCACCACCAGGAGUGGAGCCUGCGGCUUAAUUUGACUCAACACGGGGAACCUUACCAGGUCCAGACACAAUAAGGAUUGACAGAUUGAGAGCUCUUUCUUGAUUUUGUGGGUGGUGGUGCAUGGCCGUUCUUAGUUCGUGGAGUGAUUUGUCUGCUUAAUUGCGAUAACGAACGAGACCUUAUCCGCUAACUAGGCGUGCUAGCUUUGCUGGUGGCGUCUUCUUAGAGGGACUAUUGGUUUCAAGCUAAUGGAAGUGAGGCA